rnacentral:rRNA from 1 species
UACGUAGGGGGCGAGCGUUGUCCGGAAUUAUUGGGCGUAAAGCGCGCGCAGGCGGCCGAUUAAGUCAGGUGUGAAAGGCUGCGGCUCAACCGCAGAGUUGCAUCUGAAACUGGUCGGCUUGAGUGCAGGAGAGGGGAGCGGAAUUCCCGGUGUAGCGGUGGAAUGCGUAGAGAUCGGGAGGAACACCAGUGGCGAAGGCGGCUCUCUGGCCUGUAACUGACGCUGAGGCGCGAAAGCGUGGGGAGCGAACAGG